rnacentral:rRNA from 1 species
GAUGAACGCUGGCGGCGUGCCUAAUACAUGCAAGUCGAGCGAACGGACGAGAAGCUUGCUUCUCUGAUGUUAGCGGCGGACGGGUGAGUAACACGUGGAUAACCUACCUAUAAGACUGGGAUAACUUCGGGAAACCGGAGCUAAUACCGGAUGAUAUUUUGAACCGCAUGGUUCAAAAGUGAAAGACGGUCUUGCUGUCACUUAUAGAUGGAUCCGCGCUGCAUUAGCUAGUUGGUAAGGUAACGGCUUACCAAGGCAACGAUGCAUAGCCGACCUGAGAGGGUGAUAGGCCACACUGGAGCUGAGACACGGUCCAGACUCCUACGGGAGGCAGCAGUAGGGAAUCUUCCGCAAUGGGCGAAAGCCUGACGGAGCAACGCCGCGUGAGUGAUGAAGGUCUUCGGAUCGUAAAACUCUGUUAUUAGGGAAGAACAUAUGUGUAAGUAACUGUGCACAUCUUGACGGUACCUAAUCAGAAAGCCACGGCUAACUACGUG